GAAAUACUUUAUCUAGUUUGGACCUUAAUCCCAAAAUAGGCCUGUCAGGCUAGGUUGUGGACACCCGUGAUAGCUGUCGUGCAUCAGUUAUCUAGCUUUGGACCACCGUAUACGUUAUCUGGUUUUGAGAAAGCUGGGCUAAUUCUAGAAUAGCCCAAGAAGCGGAUCCAUUGCAACCCAACAAGAAGAAAUAUUAAACAAAGAGAGAUAAAGUGGGUGGGA
rnacentral:lncRNA from 1 species